rnacentral:rRNA from 1 species
AGUGAACGCUGGCGGUAGGCCUAACACAUGCAAGUCGAACGGCAGCACAGUAAGAGCUUGCUCUUACGGGUGGCGAGUGGCGGACGGGUGAGGAAUACAUCGGAAUCUACUUUUUCGUGGGGGAUAACGUAGGGAAACUUACGCUAAUACCGCAUACGACCUACGGGUGAAAGCAGGGGAUCUUCGGACCUUGCGCGAUUGAAUGAGCCGAUGUCGGAUUAGCUAGUUGGCGGGGUAAAGGCCCACCAAGGCGACGAUCCGUAGCUGGUCUGAGAGGAUGAUCAGCCACACUGGAACUGAGACACGGUCCAGACUCCUACGGGAGGCAGCAGUGGGGAAUAUUGGACAAUGGGCGCAAGCCUGAUCCAGCUAUACCGCGUGGGUGAAGAAGGCCUUCGGGUUGUAAAGCCCUUUUGUUGGGAAAGAAAAGCAGCAGGUUGAUACCCCGCUGUUCUGACGGUACCCAAAGAAUAAGCACCGGCUAACUUCGUG